UCCACAUGCUUGGAGAAGAGAAUGACUCCCUUGGUUUGUCCUUCCACCUCAACAUUUAUCAUCCAUGACCACCUCCCCAAACAAGACUGACACACAGAAAUGUGCCACAGAAAUGUGGUAGCUUCACAGAGGCUGGGACAAGCUUCUGCUCUGAGUAUUCACUGGAUAAAAAACAAUUGCCACAAAAUGAGUCAAGAAUGAAACUAUCUCGCCUAACUGGACACAUAAUGAGAGCUGCGGUCAGCAUCAGAGAGCAUCUUGACAUUGAAGACUAAGUGGUUAAGAGGUACAAGUCUGGCAUCUGUGAACAUAAGAGCUGUGGCAUUGUGGGUUGUGGAAAGAGCAAGCAACAUAGAGAAUGACAAAAUCUUUGGGAAGAUGGUGAGGACCAAUGGGAGACUUUCUCAUUCAGGGAUUGUACUGGCUAGUUUUGUGUGUCAACUUGACACAAGCUGGAAUUAACACAAAGAAAGGAGCCUCCUUUAAGGAAAUUUCUCCAUGAGAUCCAGCUGUAAGACAUUUUCUCAUUUAGUGAUGGGGGUUAUUGUGGGUGGUGCCAUUCCCGGGCUGGUAGUCUUGGGUUCUAUAAGAGAGCAAGCUGAGCAAGUCAAGGGAAACAAGCCAGUAAGUAAAAUCCCUCCAUGGCCUCUGCAUCAGCUCCUGCUUCCUGACCUGCUUGAGUUCCUGUGCUGAUUUCCUUUGGUGAUGAACAGAAAUGUGGAAGGAAUUCUCCUGAAGACUCUGGAUCCUGAGAAUUUAUCAGAAUGAGUAUCUCAGUCCAGCAUAUACUCUUGCAGCAGGCAGUGCAGUGGCUGCUGAGAGAUGAGGCCUUGGCUAUUUCUUCUCUAGAGUACCUUCCCAUGGAGUUCUUCCUACCACUCUUCAGGAAGACCUAUGCUGGCAAUGAGGCUAACAUCAUGAAGGCAAUGGUAGAAGCCUGGCCUUUUCACUACAUGCCCAUUGGGACCCUGAUGAAAGCCUCACACAUAGAGACUUUUAAGGCUCUGUUGGAUGCAGUGGAUUCUCUCAUUAUACAGAAGGUUCUCCAUAGAUCCUGAAAAUUCUAGACGGAGACCAUAUCCAGGAGUUGAAACAUCUCUGUAUCCCCGUGGCAACAGAGAAACCAGGUCUGGUUUGCAUGAUACCUUGGACAACUGAGAAAUCCUUGGAAAUACCUUCUCCAGGCAAUCUACAAGAGUAUCUUCAAUGGUAACCUUUCUCUGCCAGAGAUGAAGACGAUUGUCACUGAGUCCCUGCCUCAGUUUCCCAACCUCCACAGUCUCCAGCAUCUCAUGUGAAUGACAUAUAUCUGGUAAAAGGCAGCUUGAAAAUGUGGCUAAAGUAAAAUGGGAUCUGUCCUGAAGACCAGAGCAAAACAUUUGUCUGUGCUCUGCAGGUAGGAGAUAUUGGUCAACCAUAGUGAACUUAACAAUGCAGAAGACACUGUAAAAUAGUGGCCAUCUGCCUUUGUCUUUGGAUGGCCAGGGUUGUGUGGAGCCCACGUAGGAGCUGGGAAACUGAGAAAGCUUGCCCCAGGGUUCAAUUUCAGAGGCUAGGGUGAAACAGUGUGAAGAGAGAUGCAGUUUGUGACGCUGACGUGCAUGUUCAUGUGCACUGCAGAAAUACACCAACUUGUAGGUCUUGAUUAGAUUGGUCCUGCCUGUAUGUACUCUGCAGACCUGAGAUGGUCAUCAUUGGGGUUUUCUGCUUUAGCAACCAUCAUCAAUAUGCACAUACUGAACUGUCUGUCCCUUUAUGAUGUAAACUGACCUUGUUUUUUUAAUGUUGUGACUUGAGUGAGAAGACACUAACAGCAUCUGAUGUGUAUCUCCGUCAUGUCUUCAGAUUGAACUUGACCAAUGUAAUUCUUCUAACUCAGUGUCAACCCUAUCACCAGCAUUUUCCAAGUCCAUUUGCCAAAAUGGAUCCAUGUUUUUGUCCUAGGUGCAUAAAAACACCCUUGGAGACCCUGCCCAUCACUCACUCUCAGCUCCCACAGGAAAACUUGAAUCAUCUACCCCUGAGCCUGGACUUGAAUCAGCUCACACACAUUAACCUCAGUGGUUUAGUAGUGUCCCAGUUAAGUACUGGGCAUCUCUGUCUUCUUCUGAAGAGAGUUACAGCCACUCUGAGGACCCUGGAGUUGGAAAUCUGUAGGAUGAAAGUCCUCCCUGCUCAGUGCGCUCUUGGCUUCCCUGAACCAGAGCACCUAGCUCAGAAAUGACAAUAAGAGCUCGAUGCCUGUCCUUCAGAACAUUUUCUACCACACAGCAAAUGUAAGUCAACUGAUACUAGUACUGUACCUUGCCCCUUGGGAGUGCUAUGAUGACAUGGGUCAUGUCUUUGAAGAUAGAUUUGCCCAAUUUUGUCCUGAGCUCAUGGUUUUUCUCAGGGCUAUAAAACAGCCCUAGUCUAUUUGCUUUGCUUUGAUGCCUGUUUUAUAUGUUAUGAUUAGAGACCAGAAUUGUCUUUGUUUGCAGGGAUGGGACAUGCUGCAUACUUUUGUGUGCAGAAAAGUUUAGACCACAGGAAGGGUAUCUCAUUAACUAGACACAGUAUAUUGUUGCAGAGAGGGGAGUAAAAAUAUAAUGUAGCAUGUACUUUUGGAAGGGGAGACAUGUUGUAGAGAAUGAUGGAAGUAAUAAAAGCUGAAAGUACCAAUUGAUGAAAUGCUUUCCUCUACAUUGUGGUUUUGAUUUAAUUCCAGAGCAGGGAGAUCUGGAUGCUUGCUACCUGAGAUCCUUCUUGGCCAUUAACUUCAUCACCAGUUUUAAGGCCCUCAUAUGCUGUGUCUGUUGAAAGAAAGGCAUUGAGCUUUCUGGUCUGUGAAAGUUAGUCUCAGGAAGUCAUGGCUUCAAAUAAAUAGGAAUCAAAGUCUGGGCACAGCAUAAGAAUUUGUGUCAUAUGUGAACACACUGCAAUAAAAUGAAAACUAUUUAGUCAACAAAUUCAUGAAGACUGAAAUAAUUUGUUAAUGAAUGAUGAGAUGGUCAAAGAAGAAAUCAAGAAAGAAAGAAUUUGCGGGGCAGUAGUGGCACAUGUCUUUAAUCCCUGCACUUGGGAGGCAGAAAUGGGGACUUCUGAGUUGCACACUGUUGAGCCCAGCACUAGUGAGGCAGAGGCCAGCAGAUCACUUAGUUCAAGGCCAACUAAGUCUACAGAGUGUGCGCCAGGCAGCCAGGGAGACAUAGAGAAACCUCAUCUUGAAAAGCCAAAUCAAACCAAACCAAAAAAAAGGGGGUCACCCAUCCAAACAGACCCAUCCAAACAGACCCAUAAUUUAUGAGGAAAAUGGUUUAGGAAUAAAACUCCUUCCUAUCUAGGGAUAGAUUGAGUCAUAACAAAAUUCUAACAGACUUCAAAGUAGUCAGUUCCAUUGUCGAAUUUUUCUUUUCCUUCAUAUCUUUGUGUGGGGCUGGGGGCUUGGAAACAGGGUUUCUCUGUGUAUCCUCAGCCUGAACUGGAGCUUGCUGUGUAGACAAGGCUGGCCUCAAACUCACAGAGAUCCACCUGCCUCUUCUUCCUGAGUGCUGGGAUUGAAGGUGUGUGUCACCAUACCCAACUCUAGUCAAUAAUUCUCAAACCAAAAAGAGGAAAAAGUAGGAGUGUUUCCAGAUUUCUUCUACAAACCAGCAUCAAGGCAAUAGCAAAGUCAGGCAAAGAGACAACAAAAUCCUAAAAUGAUAAAUCAAUAUUCAUGAAUAACAUGGAUCAAAAAACAUUCAACACAAUACUUGGAAACAGAAUAAGGGCAUAUAUAAAGAUUAUCCACCAUGAGCAGGUAGGUUUAUCAUUGAAAUGUGGGGAUGAUUCAAUAUAUACAUGCCAAUAAAUGUAAAAAACUAGAUAAAUUAAAGUCACAUGAUCUUAUCAAUAGAAGGAGAAAUAAACUUUUGCCAAACCCAAUAGGCCUUCAUGAUCAAAGCUCCAAAAAUUAGGGGAGAGGUUACAUACUUCAACACACUAAGAACUGUAUAUGAGAAACCUACAGCCAAUAUAAUCUUAAAUGGAGUCAUGGAUGAGGCAGAGAUUCCCACUAUUCCCACUCCUUUUCUUUUUUUUUUUUUUUUGGUUCUUUUUUUCUGAGCUGGGGACCGAACCCAGGGCCUUGCUAGGCAAGCGCUCUACCACUGAGCUAAAUCCCCAACCCCCCACUCCUUUUCAAUAUUGUGCUUGAGAUUCUAGUGAGAGGCCAUCCCUCUUGGGACCAGCUUCCAUCAUAAAAAGAGGGGGAAAAAUGACCUGAACACAACCUGAUGCAAAACCCAAGUUAUAUCCGCAUAACAGGAAGAACCCUAUGGCGUAUCCUUGGCCAGAGUGACUUCCUAGCUACUUCCCAGCAAAAGUUAAUCAAGAAUUAGUCUGGUUGUUUCAAAUGUACUGUCUGACCAUUUGUGAUUGUAUAUGGUAUUGCUUCAGAGCACCCACCUGUUGGAUUAUAGUCAUUCUAUUGCUUGUCAGACUUUAUACCCCAUUUUUCACCCCUUCACUUGUUCCUAUUUUCCUAUAAAACCUUGUUCUGUUGAGGGUUCGGGACUGCUCUGCCUUCCUUCCUCUCCUGCUUGCUGUGUCCGUGUUGUGUUAGAAAUGAGCCAGAGCCCAGGAUUGUAAUAAAGAGACCCUAAUGUGAUUACA